rnacentral:rRNA from 1 species
AAGCGCUUGCAAUCAGACUUUGCAUAUAGUUGAUCAUCCGAUGUUCUCACCGGUGCACUCAAUUGUAUUCAGGCCAGCAUCGGUUUCAGUGGUUGGAUAAAGGCCUUGGGAAUGUAACUUCUUUCGGGGAGUGUUAUAGCCCAAGAUGCAAUGCAGCCUACUGGGACCGAGGACCGCGCUUCGGCUAGGAUGCUGGCGUAAUGGUUGCAAGCGA